rnacentral:rRNA from 1 species
ACUACGGGAGGCAGCAGUGAGGAAUAUUGGUCAAUGGGCGCGAGCCUGAACCAGCCAAGUAGCGUGAAGGAUGACUGCCCUACGGGUUGUACACUUCUUUUAUAAAGGAAUAAAGUGAGGCACGUGUGCCUUUUUGUAUGUACUUUAUGAAUAAGGAUCGUCUAACUCCGUGCCAGCAGCCGCGGUAAUACGGAGGAUCCGAGCGUUAUCCGGAUUUAUUGGGUGUAAAGGGAGCGUAUAUGGGUGGUUAAGUCAGUUGUGAAAGUUUGCGGCUCAACAGUAAAAGUGCAAUUGAUACUGGCAGUCUUGAGUACAGUUGAGGUAGGCGGAAUUCGUGGUGUAGCGGUGAAAUGCUUAGAUAUCACUAAGAACUCCGAUUGCGAAGGCAGCUUACUAAACUGCCACUGACAUUGAUGCUCGAAAGUGUGGGUAUCAAACAGGAUUAGAUACCCUAGUAGUC